rnacentral:sRNA from 1 species
AAAAGAACAACGCAUAAAAACCAACAUUCCCAAUAAAAGCAUUCCUACGAGGUCCGUCUCUCUUUAUGGGAGUUGUUGAUCCAUGAUGUACGGAAAUCGUCAGUCGGAAUGGAGAACGAUAUGUACGGGCUGAUCUUGGGUGCAGCGUCUACCUCGUCGCCUUUCAGUGACUGUGGUGGGUGGUGCAAUGAUCGGCUGGACAA